rnacentral:lncRNA from 1 species
CUGGUUCCCGCUCACGCCUCUCCCUCCACACCUCCCGGCAAGCUGAGGGAGUAGGCUCUGGCCUUGGCCAGCCCAGAAAGGGGCUCCCAUAGUGCAGCGGUGGGCUGAAGGGCUCCUCAAGUGCCGCCAAAGUGGGAGCCCAGGCAGAGGAGGCGCCGAGAGCGAGCGACGGCUGUGAGGACUGCCAGCACGCUGUCACCUCUCACAGGGUCUGUAGUGCUUUCCUGUUUCAUUCCUGACAUUGGAACUGUGAAGACUAGAGUGACCUUGGAGAUCUCAUCUGGAAGAUGGUAGAACUGCUAUCAGCCUGGCUUCCCAAAUGACCUCCUGGAUCACAGCUACCCAUGGCCUGAAAUGUUGACCUUGGAGUUGUUGCAUAGGAAAGAAAUAAACUUCUUUGUUCUUUGAGCCACAUAGUUAUCACAUAUCUUCUUAAAGCCACUUACCCACUUGUUCUAUCUCAUUCAGCUCUGAAAUUCUGUUUAAUUUCUAGAGUCAAAACAUUCAUUUGUUUCUUCUUUAUUUAACAAGAAUCAAUUACUUAUUUUAUGGAAGCCACUAUUCCAAAGAGAAGAAUCAUAAAAACAUUAGCCUUAUGGAUCUUUUGUCCUGGGAACAACACAGAGUGGAG